rnacentral:sRNA from 1 species
CGUAAAUACCCUCCUUGGGUGUUUCCUCCCUAGAUUUAGCCGCGCCCAUGGCGCGGUUUUUUUUGCUUUUU